rnacentral:lncRNA from 1 species
AUUAAAUGAGAAUAUAGCAAGGUUUAACAAACACUAAACAUUUAACUAAUAACAAGUAUUAUCAGUGACCAACUGGAAGGAGGAUAAACACAUCAUCAUAAAACAAAACCAGUGAGAAGCCAUACAGAAUGGAAUGAGGCAACAGUUCCCAAGCCACAGAUUCAUUUAUCACCCAUCCCAAGAUAGAAGAUGCGGCUAGAGCAGUGGCCCUGGGAGGAACAGUGCUUCUCUGCUUCUAACACUGCAAUGAAAUUCAGGACAAACACUAUACUAUGCAUGAAGAUCACCGCCUGGAGAUCCCAGCUCUUCAUUCCAGACGUCGUAUUUGAAAAUGGAAC